CACGUACUGUGCGAACGUUAUUCGGAAUCACUGGGCUUAAAGGGUGCGUAGGCGGUAUAGUAAGUAGGGUGUGAAAUGCCAGGGCUCAACCUUGGCACGGCGCUCUAAACUGCUAAACUUGAGUGAGAUAGGGGUGUACGGAACUUCCGGUGGAGCGGUGAAAUGCGUUGAUAUCGGAAGGAACGCCGGUGGCGAAAGCG
rnacentral:rRNA from 1 species